AGAUACCCUAGUAUAUAGUUAAGAUUGAAGAUUAUUAUAUAUUAGAAAUUUUAAGUUUUUGGCGGUAAAUUAAUAUGUUAGAGGAGCUUGUUAAUAGAAAUUACUCUAUAAAUUUUAUUAAUUUUUGUUUAUUUAUUUCCGUUAUAAGGUGGGGAACCUUAUAAGUUUAUUAUCUUAUAUUUCAGGUCAAGAUGUAGCAAUAAUUAAUGUCAAAUUAGCUACAUUAAAUGAUUUAUGAAUUAUUUUAGGAACCUAAUUAUGAAAUUGAAUUUAAUUGUAAUUUAAUUUAAAGUGAUGAGAUGAAAUUAUUAUGAUUUAUGUAUAUAUUGCCCGUCACUUCUUUUGUUAAAGAGAAUAAGUCGUAACAAA
rnacentral:rRNA from 1 species